UUUUAAUAUGUUUCGCUAUCAAUUAUUAUGUUCUACCGUGAGAAUUGUCUAUUGUGUUUUGGAUUUAAUUGCUUAAUUGCCUAGCUAACUAUUACCGUGAUAAUCUAUAUGAACUCGAGAGAUGAAGUAUUGAUUUAGAUCUUAUCAUGAUAACAUGUGUUUGUGAUUUCUGCAUAGAUGGAAUUCAUGAUUCGUGUUUAGGAUAGAGA
rnacentral:lncRNA from 1 species